rnacentral:rRNA from 1 species
AACGCGAAGAACCUUACCUGGGCUCGAACGGCUUCAGACAGUCGUGGAAACACGAUCUUCCCCUUAAAAGGACUGGAGUCGAGGUGCUGCAUGGCUGUCGUCAGCUCGUGUCGUGAGAUGUUGGGUUAAGUCCCGCAACGAGCGCAACCCUUGUCCUGUGUUGCCACUCCGUAAGGAAGCACUCUCAGGAGACCGCCAGCGAUAAGCUGGAGGAAGGUGGGGAUGAUGUCAAGUCAUCAUGGCCUUUAUGUCCAGGGCUACACACGUGCUACAAUGGGCGGUACAAAGCGCUGCAAACCCGCGAGGGGGAGCUAAUCGCAAAAAACCGUUCUCAGUUCGGAUCGCAGGCUGCAACUCGCCUGCGUGAAGCUGGAAUCGCUAGUAAUGGCGUAUCAGAAUGAUGCCGUGAAUACGUUCCCGGGCCUUGUA